rnacentral:rRNA from 1 species
UACAGAGGUCUCAAGCGUUGUUCGGAUUCAUUGGGCGUAAAGGGCGCGUAGGCGGCCAUCUAAGUCAGACGUGAAAUCCCCCGGCUUAACCUGGGAACUGCGUCUGAUACUGGAAGGCUUGAGUAUGGGAGAGGGAUGUAGAAUUCCAGGUGUAGCGGUGAAAUGCGUAGAUAUCUGGAGGAAUACCGGUGGCGAAGGCGGCAUCCUGGACCAUUACUGACGCUGAGGCGCGAAAGCUAGGGGAGCAAACGGG